GAUGAACGCUGGCGGCGUGCUUAACACAUGCAAGUCGAACGGAAAGGCUCCUGCUUGCCGGGGUACUCGAGUGGCGAACGGGUGAGUAACACGUGGGUGAUCUGCCCUGCACUUCGGGAUAAGCCUGGGAAACUGGGUCUAAUACCGGAUAGGACCACAUUUUGGAUGGUGUGGUGGAAAGUUUUUCGGUGUGGGAUGAGCUCGCGGCCUAUCAGCUUGUUGGUGGGGUAAUGGCCUACCAAGGCGUCGACGGGUAGCCGGCCUGAGAGGGUGUACGGCCACAUUGGGACUGAGAUACGGCCCAGACUCCGACGGGAGGCAGAAGUGGGGAAUAUUGCACAAAGGGAGAAAGCCUGAUGCAGCGACGCCGCGUGGGGGAUGACGGCCUUCGGGUUGUAAACACCUUUCGCUAGGGACGAAGCGUUUUUGUGACGGUACCUGGAGAAGAAGCACCGGCUAACUACGUG
rnacentral:rRNA from 1 species